AAACCAGGGAGUCCAGCCAAGAGAAAAAAGAAGAGGAAAAAAAUUCCAAAGUGAGAGAAAGAGUGAUUUAGACAAAAAAAAAAAAAAAAAAAAAAAAAAUCGACAGAGUAACCGAGGCAUCACGUCAUCGGAGAUUGACCUUCAUUUCCUAAGAAACAAGAAAGAAAGAGAACAGACUCUUUAGCGAAUAGAGGAUUCCACUUCCUAAAAACAGGUAAGCAACAUGCUCAUAAUGCUUGAUAGACUGAUGGCGAGGCAGUGGACGAGCGGAGUGGAGGUCGGGGAAUGGAUACCGAACGCAGUUAUUUCCGCAAUAGUUUAAAGUUUUUUAAAAAAAGAUUUGUUAAAUAUGUCUAUGAACUUGUAUUUUGGAAGCUUGUAGUAAAAUUGUUAAGUUGUGUAAA